AACAGAGGACCUCUGAAGAAAUCUACAACAGGAGGCCAGGGAACUGCAGCUUCCUCAAAUCAGGAGUUGAACUAUGCAGAUGUCAGGUUUUUCCCAAAGAGAAAUGAUGGGAGAGUUCAGAUGGGGGUAC